CAGCCGCCGCGGUAACACGGAGGGUGCAAGCGUUAAUCGGAAUUACUGGGCGUAAAGCGCACGCAGGCGGUUUGUUAAGUCAGAUGUGAAAUCCCCGAGCUUAACUUGGGAACUGCAUUUGAAACUGGCAAGCUAGAGUCUUGUAGAGGGGGGUAGAAUUCCAGGUGUAGCGGUGAAAUGCGUAGAGAUCUGGAGGAAUACCGGUGGCGAAGGCGGCCCCCUGGACAAAGACUGACGCUCAGGUGCGAAAGCGUGGGGAGCAAACAGGAUUAGAUACCCCAGUAGUCCCUGUCUCUUAUAC
rnacentral:rRNA from 1 species